rnacentral:rRNA from 1 species
UUGGGUUUAAAGGGUCCGUAGGCGGGUCUUUAAGUCAGUGGUGAAAGCCUGCAGCUUAACUGUAGAAUUGCCAUUGAUACUGAAGACCUUGAGUGUAGUAGAAGUAGGCGGAAUAUGGCAUGUAGCGGUGAAAUGCAUAGAUAUGCCAUAGAACACCGAUUGCGAAGGCAGCUUACUAUGUUACAACUGACGCUGAGGGACGAAAGCGUGGGUAGCAAACAGGAUUAGAUACCCUGGUAGUCCACGCCGUAAACGAUGAUUACUCGCUGUUAGCGAUAUACAGUUAGCGGCCAAGCGAAAGCAUUAAGUAAUCCACCUGGGGAGUACGACCGCAAGGUUAAAACUCAAAUGAAUUGACGGGGGCCCGCACAAGUGGUGGAGCAUGUGGUUUAAUUCGAUGCAACGCGAAGAACCUUACCUACUCUUGACAUACUAGAAACUUUUCAGAGAUGAAUUGGUGCCUUCGGGAAUCUAGAUACAGGUGCUGCAUGGCU